rnacentral:misc_RNA from 1 species
AGGCAACCUAUUCAAUCUUCCAACCAAUUUCAGUUUCUGAAGAAAAAAUGGAGGCAGAGUUAAUGCUUCUAACUGAAGUUGUUCUUCUAUCUCUGUUGCCAUCACACCUAAUCGGAUUAAGCCUGUCAUCGUUUGAAUUGAGGAGCAUAACUUUGGUCCAUCAUCCGCUCUCAACUUUGUGAUUUCCAACCUUUUGAGAUUAGUGAAGUUCCCAAGUUGUUGGAGCAGCUCUUUCUCUGCUUCAAUGCAUGCUAAUGUUUGUAAGCUCCGAAUACUCCAUAUUCCAUCUGGAGCCUGCAUCCCAUUGAGAACAUUUAUUGCCUCAGAAUUCUGAUCUUGUUUGCUGCACAUAAAUAGAUGUCGUAAAUUUGAUAACUUUGAUAUUCCCCUUGGCAUUCUUUUCAUAUUGGUUUUCCAGACAUCCAGUGUCUGCAGAUUGUUUAGCCUUUCCAUUGACUUGGGA